rnacentral:rRNA from 1 species
UAGGGAAUCUUCCGCAAUGGACGCAAGUCUGACGGAGCAACGCCGCGUGAGUGAAGAAGGAUUUCGGUUCGUAAAACUCUGUUGUUAGAGAAGAACAGCGCAUAGAGUAACUGUUAUGCGUGUGACGGUAUCUAACCAGAAAGCCACGGCUAACUACGUGCCAGCAGCCGCGGUAAUACGUAGGUGGCAAGCGUUGUCCGGAUUUAUUGGGCGUAAAGCGAGCGCAGGCGGUUAGAAAAGUCUGAAGUGAAAGGCAGUGGCUCAACCAUUGUAGGCUUUGGAAACUGUUUAACUUGAGUGCAGAAGGGGAGAGUGGAAUCCCAUGUGUAGCGGUGAAAUGCGUAGAUAUAUGGAGGAACACCGGUGGCGAAAGCGGCUCUCUGGUCUGUAACUGACGCUGAGGCUCGAAAGCGUGGGUAGCAAACAGG